GGGACGAACGCUGGCGGCGUGCUUAACACAUGCAAGUCGAGCGGUAAGGCCUUUCGGGGUACACGAGCGGCGAACGGGUGAGUAACACGUGGGUGAUCUGCCCUGCACUUCGGGAUAAGCCUGGGAAACUGGGUCUAAUACCGGAUAUGACCUCAGGUUGCAUGACUUGGGGUGGAAAGAUUUAUCGGUGCAGGAUGGGCCCGCGGCCUAUCAGCUUGUUGGUGGGUAAUGGCCUACCGAAGGCGACGACGGGUAGCCGACCUGAGAGGGUGACCGGCCACACUGGGACUGAGACACGGCCCAGACCUCCGUACGGGAGGCAGCAGGUGGGGAAUAUUGACACAAGUGGGACGAAAGCCUGAUGCAGCGACGCCGCGUGAGGGAUGGACGUCCGUUUCGGGUUAGUAAACCCGUUCGUUACG
rnacentral:rRNA from 1 species